CAUAUAGACAACUGCUUGUUCAUAUUCAAUCAGAAAUAUCACACAAAAUGAAAAUCCUUGAACGGACGAUUACAUGGAAAACUUUAUACAGCCCUAAUUGUGAAUGUCACAUUUGAUUUAGGGUAGUAGAAUUCCUUGAUUCUGGCUGAUGAAACUGCAUUCUGCUAUUCCUUUCUAUCUUACUGGUUGAAUAUGAACAAGCAGUUGUCUAUAUGCCCAUUGAAACUGGGAAUGUUUCACACUGAUUCCAAAACUUUAUGCUUACAGUGAAAAAAAUGAGUGCAAAAAAAAAAAAAAAAUCCCUUGUAAUUACACUACGGUUACCCACGUCACAUUGUCCGCAAAAAGCCACGGACGUUAAUCAGGAAGUUGUUUACAUUCUUCCUAAAUCUUUGGUAAUUCAUACGGUCUAGAGCGGAUGAAAGUUGAUUGGAGCUUGUGAGGGAUUGUAAUGCACUUGCUAGCCUUGAUCGGAGUGUUGGAUUCAAUUGCCUCUCUAUCAAUUCAUUUGCUAAUUUCUGGUAUAGGUCUUGCUCACAAAGAAUCAAUGGAAAGAGAGCAUCUGCUGCAGGACUGACAAGAUCAGGACUGUAAUCCUCAAAAAGGAGCAACUGCAGUAACAAUCUAAGGAAGCGACUUAAGAUGCCUUCCUGCAAGUUGCCUUGCUGAUCUUUAAUACCCUUGGUGUGAGAGCCCAGGCCAAUUUUGCCUGCAUGCGUCUCCUUGUAAUGGAAGGAGGCAAGAGCUUUAAGAGCCCUCAGGCACAUAUUUACUACUUCUGUGUCCUGGUGGUGAAGGCCAAAAUCUAGAGUUCCAAGCACAUGAGCAAAAGCUUCACUAUUUAGUCGUGCAACUGUUUCAGGAUAAACCUCCAACAUAUGCGACAACAGAGAGAAGUAAUCAUGACAAAGCUUGGGGUAUUUCAGCAGCUCUAAAGAAAUUAAUGGGGUAACUAUGAGAAGACCAAAGUAAACAACCUCAGAUAUAUUUGUCCCCUGUGCCUCAAUGGAAUCUGAAGAAAAGUCGACCAGAUCUUUUGAACAGAGAUUUGAAAGAAGCUGAAGAAGAGCACGUAAAUCCUUGUACUUCUCAGUCUUGGCCUCACUAAGUAAGCUGCUUGAAAGACUCAAUGAUAUCUUGCCGAUAUUGUAAGAUGAGUAAAGCUGAAGCAAACGCAUACAGAAAUCAAUAACGGCAGCAGUUUCUUGAGCCUCCAGGUAGGAAAUUUGCCCAUCCACCCAAUCAACAACAAACUUAAGUAGCAGAUAAACAACU
rnacentral:misc_RNA from 1 species